rnacentral:lncRNA from 1 species
CAGGCUGCGGAAAAUGCAGGAUAAGAGAGAGAGAGAGAGAAAGUGAUUGUUGGGGGGAGUUCUUUUUAAUUUGCAUUUCAGGGCUGUACCUAAGAUCAUAAAUAUACAGAAGUUAGCACCUACCUAUCAUCCCUCAGCUAUCUUAUUUCCAGAGCAUUACGAUACGAAAACAAUGGGAUUAGGGCACUAUAUGCUUCAAUCCCUAUCACCCCCGAUCCCCAAACUUAAUCUUAGAAAAUGCCUGUCUGUGCUAGAGAAAUGGAUUGCACGUAACAUGACAACCGUCUUUUAUAGAGGCAAACCAGACUCACUGGGCUCUAAUGCUGUAAAGGAAAAAGCUUAACAGGUAUAAUUAACCUGUGGAAUGCCCUACCACAAGAUAUUCUUGAAGUACUGGCACUAAUACCGUCUGUCUUCAUAACUCAGGGCAUCAGCGGCCUACUAGCUGAGAGCAAGAAGCAAUCUACUGUGUCCCUGCAUGACGUGACUCCGCUGAAUGAAUUAAGAGGUCGCGGUGACUUUUGGAGCAAUGGUCAACUGCUGGAGUUGGAGGAGGUUUGGGUUUCUGUGGGAAAACGUGCAGUUAUUUGCAGAAAUGAGCAAGAGGGAGCAGCACAGGAUCUGCCACGAGGAUCUCCCAGGCUGCUGGUCUGCGUGAGGAGGAGAGGAAGGCCUGCACACACGAGGAAGGCUGUGAAGGAGAAAGACUGGGAUGCCCAACAAAGGAAAUUUCAGCUGCAAAGAGUUCCAUCAGGCACGCUAGAACUUGUGAUGAUUUGGGGCUCAAUAACACCUACAGAACAGGUACGUUCAUUACAAAGACCAAGUUGA